CCUACGGGUGGCAGCAGUGGGGAAUAUUGCGCAAUGGGCGAAAGCCUGACGCAGCGACGCCGCGUGAGGGAUGAAGGUCUUCGGAUCGUAAACCUCUGUCAGCAGGGAAGAACGGUCACUGUGCUAAUCAGCAGUGCAUUGACUGUACCUGCAAAGGAAGCACCGGCUAACUCCGGGCCAGCAGCCGCGGUAAUACGGAGGGUGCGAGCGUUAAUCGGAAUUACUUGGCGUAAAGCGCCCGUAGGCGGUAUGUCAAGUCAAGGGUGAAAUCCCCGCGCUCAACGGGGGAACUGCCUUUGAAACGGGCAGACUGGAGUAUGUGAGAGGAUAGUGGAAUUCCAGGUGUAGGAGUGAAAUCCGUAGAUAUCUGGAGGAACACCAGUGGCGAAGGCGACUAUCUGGCACAUAACUGACGCUGAGGAGCGAAAGCGUGGGUAGCAAACAGGAUUAGAUACCCGAGUAGUC
rnacentral:rRNA from 1 species